UACGUAGGUGGCAAGCGUUGUCCGGAUUUACUGGGCGUAAAGAGCGCGCAGGCGGUCGUGCAAGUCGCGUGUGAAAGCCCCGGCUCAACUGGGGAGGGUCACGCGAUACUGAUCGACUCGAAGGCAGGAGAGGGUAGUGGAAUUCCCGGUGUAGUGGUGAAAUGCGUAGAUAUCAGGAGGAACACCGAUGGCGAAGGCAGGUCUCUGGGCCACUACUGACGCUGAGAAGCGAAAGCGUGGGGAGCGAACAGG
rnacentral:rRNA from 1 species